GGGCGUGUAGCUCAAUUGGAUAGAGCGUUGCAUUCACAUUGCAAAGGUUUGUGGUUCGAGUCCACCCACGCCCA
rnacentral:tRNA from 1 species